ensembl:ncRNA asRNA:CR45143 antisense RNA:CR45143
AAUUACCAACGGAGAACGGUGAAUGCCCACGUAGAAUAGACUGCUUACCUGGUUACCUUACCUUUUGGCCAGAAUCAUCAUUUCCAGCUAGUGGCCAUUAUUUGAUCAAAAGCAACAGGCGACGGCGACUAACUGGCUGACAACCGAGCAACGUAAACGCGUUUUGGUCAAAACGAAUAAGAGCGGGAGCGAGAGAGAGAGUGGGAAAAUCAUCGGGAGCGCACAGGUAUUGGUGUGCGUGGGCCGCUUUUUUGAGGAGCAACCGUGUCACGACCCCCAACUACUUGCACUUAUCGAUAUCGGAAUGUAAACUCCCCUUUUAAAGGUGCAAGAUAAAUAAUUUACUCGAAC